rnacentral:rRNA from 1 species
GACGAACGCUGGCGGCGUGCUUAACACAUGCAAGUCGAACGGAAAGGCCAUGCUUUUGCUGGGUGCUCGAGUGCCGAACGGGUGAGUAACACGUGAGUAAACCGCCCCUGACUUUCGGGUAAAUCUACGAAACUGCGGCUCAUACCGGGUAGGAGCUCCUGCUGCAUGGUGGUGGUUGGAAAGAUUCGGUGGUGCGGGAUGGUCUCGCGGCUUAUCAGCUUGUUAGUGGGGUAGUGGCUUACCAAGGCUUUGACGGGUAGCCGGCCUGAGAGGGUGACCGGCGACCAUAGGACUGCGGGACGGAGCAGACGCCUACGGGAGGCAGAAGUGGGAAGUAUUGCACAAUAGGCGGAAGCGUGAUGUAGCGGUGCUGCGUGCGGGAUGACGGGCUUCGGGUUGUAAACCGCUUUGGCCUGUGACGAAGCGGGAGUGACGGUAAUGGGUAAAGAAGCACCGGCUAACUACGUG